rnacentral:rRNA from 1 species
UAAAGGAAUUGGCGGGGGAGCACAACAACGGGUGGAGCCUGCGGUUUAAUUGGACUCAACGCCGGAAAACUCACCAGGGGAGACAGCAAUAUGUAGGUCAAGCUGAAGACUUUACCUGAAUCGCUGAGAGGAGGUGCAUGGUCGUCGCCAGUUCGUACUGUGAAGCAUCCUGUUAAGUCAGGCAACGAGCGAGACCCGUGCCCACAGUUACCAGCGGCAUCUCCGGAUGGCCGGGUACUCUGUGGGGACCGCCGGUGUUAAAUCGGAGGAAGGUGCGGGCUACGGUAGAUCAGUAUGCCCCGAAUCUCUUGGGCUACACGCGGGCUACAAUGGACGGGACAAUGGGCAACUACCCCGAAAGGGGAUGUCAAUCUCAUAAACCCGUUCGAAGUUCGGAUCGAGGAUUGAAACCCAUCCUCGUGAAGCCUGGAAUCCGUAAGUAAUCGCGUUUCAACAUAGCGCGCUGAAUACGUCCCUGCUCCUUGCACACACCGCCA